rnacentral:rRNA from 1 species
UUGGUCACCGGAGGAGCCUGCGGUUUAUUGGACUCAACGCCGGACAUCUCACCAGCUCCGACUAUAGUAAUGACGGUCAGGUUGAUGACCUUGCCACGACGCUAUAGAGAGGAGGUGCAUGGCCGCCGUCAGCUCGUACCGUGAGGCGUCCUGUUAAGUCAGGCAACGAGCGAGACCCGCACUUCUAAUUGCCAGCAACAGUUUCGACUGGUUGGGUACAUUAGAAGGACUGCCGCUGCUAAAGCGGAGGAAGGAACGGGCAACGGUAGGUCAGUAUGCCCCGAAUGAGCUGGGCUACACGCGGGCUACAAUGGCCGAGACAAUGGGUUGCUAUCUCGAAAGAGAACGCUAAUCUCCUAAACUCGGUCGUAGUUCGGAUUGAGGGCUGAAACCCGCCCUCAUGAAGCUGGAUUCGGUAGUAAUCGCAUUUCAGAAGAGUGCGGUGAAUACGUCCCUGCUCCUUGCACACAAAAAA